rnacentral:misc_RNA from 1 species
AAACUAAUCCAACAAUAUCAGCAAAUGUACCCAGAGGCUUGUAACUUGGAAAUGGGGAGUAAAACCAAGUUAUAUGGCCUCUCAUCAUGAAUUUAACUCUUUCACUUCGACCUGUUCGAGCAAGAUCAAUAAUGGAGAUGAGCAUCACUGUGAAAGACAAGAUCAUACUGAUUAAUGCAUAUUGGGGUUUGCGCACUGAGGACAGUUGAUCAAAAACUGCUGAUGGAAGCUCCACGACAAAAUUCGUGAUAAGGAAAAUCCGUUUCAGGGUCAUAUCCCUUUGAUUCGAGCUAUUCUUUCUGUUUUGGUUCCCUUCUUGAUCUUCGAAGCUGGGGAUAACCUCGGAUAUAGUAUUGCCAUCUCCUGUGACCCUUUGAUGCAAGCCAUCUGCUGUGCC